AAUCAAAUUUCAAUAAAAUCCUAAAUAAAUUCUAAUCAAAUCUCAGUAUAAUCCUAAAUAAAUUCUAAUAAUUUUUUUAAAAAAUAUCAACCAUAUCUUAAUCAAACCUUAAAUCCUAAUCAAAUUCUAAACAAAUAUUAAUGAAAUCCUAAACCAACCAUAACCAAAUUUCAAUGUAAUCCUAAAUAAAUCUUAAAUCCUAACUAAAUCUCA
rnacentral:lncRNA from 1 species